GAAGGAGUAUAUGAACAAGGAAACAUUGAUGUAGCAAUUGAAAGACAACUCAAUAGAUUGCAUGCGAUAGAAGACAGUCAACAACUAAAUAGCUCUAUAACUUGCACAUCUAAGAUUGUGCCUUCUUCUGCAUUAUUGCAUGCUUGGUCUAAUGAAAGUGUAUGAUACAUGUGUGAGACAGCAUAAAUAAAUAGUCGAUUUUCUGGAAAAACUACU
rnacentral:lncRNA from 1 species